GCCGGCGCUUUCGGAGAGAUUUCCGUUAUCUAUUUGCUUUUUUGCAGAGACGGGCUUCGAGUCCGGACGUGACUGUCUCUUGCUUGGGGGCACCCCUAACUCAGUCCAUACCACACAGGAGAGUGACCCAAAGUGUGGGAGACUUAACACUAUAGUGGUGCAUGAGACUAGCAUAAAAACAAGGGUGUCGGUGACAGAAGACCUUGAAAUUUCUCCAGGUUGCCUUACCAGCUCAUGUCAGAUUUCUGCCACAACUCUCGAAUUUUACUGCAGAAGAAAAUGAGGUCCUUGAAAUUGUUUCUGCAUAGGAGACACUGCAAGCCCUGGGAGAGGAAAGGAAUAAGAAGAUGGAAAACCAGAGGAGUACAUUGCUGGAAAGCUUUGUUAGUUUUCUUAAUAUGGAGUCAAAUCUGACCCGUGGAGCCCAACUUCCUGCCUUGAGCUGGAGUUGGGUGGGUGGGGAGGAACAUCAUAAGGAAGGAGGCUAUGGGGAGGCAAAAUAGACUCUAGGAACGUGGUUUGAUCUUGUACUUGGGAACAUCAUCUUGCCAUAUUAGAGCCAGAGGCAUUAAUUGUGGCUCCUCCUAGUCCAUAAUUUUGAUUGUUGGCAUUUCCUUCCCUGUUCCUGAAUCCUACCCAAGCAAAUAGCACUAUAGCCUGGAGUUUAUUCUCCCUUCUGGGAACUUUACUGCCUUGUAUUGAUAAUUGGUUGUUUAUUCAUGUUUCAUUUUCCUUAACUAGAUUAAAGAAAAAACAUUAUUGGCAUUUUCAGACAAAUAGAAGUUAAAGGGAUAGCACAAUGAACUCCCAUUUACCUAUUGCCCAGUUUCAACCAGAAUCAACAUUUUACCUUUCUUUGAUUUUAAGCUCCUUAAUGGAGAGAACUAUGACUCAUAAAUGUUUAAGGUAGCUACCAAUCAUAAUUGGGGAGGGGGAUGGUUAUGUAAAAAAUUUUUAAAUAUGGAAUGCUUCACUAAUUUGUAUAUCAUCCCUGAGCAGGGGCCAAGGGCAUGGUUAUUUUUGACACCUCACUUUAGUGGUCAAGAUCUGAAGUCAAAGCUGCUUUAGUUGUAUGUGGGAUCCACGUAAGUUUGCUACGCGCCUUCUUGGUUGAUGUCAGAUGUGAAAGGGAGAAUCCAAGGGAGAUCACUUGUGUCACAAGAUUGCAAAGACAAGGAAGGAAGGAACCUCAGGAUUCACACCUUACUGAGAAAGAAUAUUCUGGAGUCAGCCUAGAUGCCAGUGCUGUAUUCUUAUGAUGUCCAGUUUCGACCUCAUGAUAUCAAACAAUGUGAAAUUCUGCAAGCAAGAAUGACAGCCGUGAGAUAUGCUUGUUUUGUUCAUCACUGAAUGAGGACAUUCAUCCCUGAAUACCUACUGUGUCUCCUGGAACAUAGCAGAUACUCAACCAGUAUGUGGAAUGAAUGAAAUUAAUUCAAGCCACUGAACGUAUUAUUGUAAACCAGACUAUGAGAAGAAAAGAAUAAGGACGUUGGAAUCUUGAGAAGGUAGCUAUUUCUGCUAGACCUCCAUUUAGGCAGAUGAAGUACCAAACUCAUCCUCCUUAAUAAGUUGGCAGUAACUGCUUAGGAGCGUUGAACAUUUUUCAAUAGCUGAUCUAGACAGCUGUUAAUGUCACAUCGUCCAACCACUUGUCUGGAGUUUCAUGAAAUUCACAGAUGAUCCCCCUGCUAUAACUUUGGUGCCAUGUUCACUCAUUUAACCCAGCAAUCACAAAAUUUCAGGCAGAUUCAAAGCAGUCCCUCCUCAGAAAAAAUAUUGGUUCUCUGACCUAACCUACCGAAAAUCAUGUGGGCUCGUAACUAAAUCACACCAAACUUGUCAAUUCUGGUCUUGGCAGAGAUACUGUGAGAGUAAGUAUGUUGAUUCAUGAAGCAGUUAAAUUCCAAUGAGCAAUUCCAGAUCUGAUAAUUAAAUUCUUAUUAUAACCUUGGGAACAUUUUAAAUUAAGUUCCCUCACCUGAAGUGGCAACGAAUCAUUGCUAUGUUCAAAGUCCUGGUCAAAUAUAACAGCGGCCAUUACACAAUCAAAAUCCUUAUAAUAUUUAACGUAUUAAAAAAAAUUUCCUCUGAAGUAAAGCCAUGAACUAUGAAGGGAGAAAAUCUAAGCAGUAAGCUUUCAACAUAAAGGCAAUAAUAUCUGAUGCUCUAUCUGAGGGAAUGAGACAUAUCAGACAACUUUAUAGAGACAAAUUUGUUAAGCCUGCCAAGGAUGGCAAAACUUGUUUCCUGAUUCUCUGUAAAAUUCCUCACUUGUAGAGUCAACUUUCACUUGGAGAAUUUCAACUGCAGUCUACAGUUAAGCUCAUCCACUGUUGGCCCCACUACCAUAGACAAGAAGAUGUAAAAUCUAAGUAAGGAUCUGUACCAAUAAUUUAAUUAAAAUUCCUCAUUUUAUGGGUCAUAUCCUAAUUCAUAAUUUUUUUACUCAUGCGGUAACUAAUUUCCUCUUGGGUUGCUUAAAAUUAUGAGGGCCAAGUGUAAAUUACACUGGAAAUUACUUAAACUAAUUGCCAUAUAGAAUGUAACUGUUAAUGAUUUCUUACUUUUAAUACUAUUUAAUAAAAUCUAUUGUGGCAUUUUAGUAAGAUUUUUUACUACUUCAUUGUUGGAAAGGAUAUAAACCAAUUCCCAGUUUCUUUGGAUACUGGUAUUAAGGAAGUAAGAAGGUGG